GUGUCAGCAGCCGCGGUAAUACGUAGGUGGCGAGCGUUGUCCGGAAUUACUGGGCGUAAAGGGUGCGCAGGCGGUCAUUUAAGUCAGAUGUGAAAACCCGGGGCUUAACUCCGGGAUUGCAUUUGAAACUGGGUGGCUAGAGUGCAGGAGAGGAAAGCGGAAUUCCUAGUGUAGCGGUGAAAUGCGUAGAUAUUAGGAAGAACACCAGUGGCGAAGGCGGCUUUCUGGACUGUAACUGACGCUGAGGCACGAAAGCGUGGGGAGCAAACAGGAUUAGAAACCCCCGUAGUCC
rnacentral:rRNA from 1 species